GAUGAAGAACGUAGCGAAUUGCGAUAAGUAAUGUGAAUUGCAGAAUUCAGUGAAUCAUCGAAUCUUUGAACGCAUCUUGCGCUCUUUGGUAUUCCGAAGAGCAUGCCUGUUUGAGUGUCAUGAAACUCUCACCUCCAAUCUUUUUUAACUAGAAGGUUGGGGCGUGGACGUGAGUGCUGCUGGUGCCCUGGUUGCAUCGGCUCACUUGAAAUUCAUUAGCUGAAUCCUUUAAAGUAGGUUCUACUCGACGUGAUAAGAUCUCCUCGAGGACAGUGCUUCGGCAUUGGCCAUCGAUAAAGUUGAUACGCUUCUAAUUAGCGCAGACUUCGAGUGCUGGCAAUUUUGACAACUUGGCCUCAAAUCAGGUAGGACUACCCACUGAACUUAAGCAUAUCAAUAAGCGGAGGA
rnacentral:misc_RNA from 1 species